GUAUUAUUUAUGAUAAAUUCAGGGCAUAGCAUUUGCUUCUCUAAUGAUCAAUAAGUGUAUAGUCAAAACCACCAAAAACUAAAACUCUGACGCUGCUAAAGUUGAAACUUAUUUAGCAAAGUUAUUUUCCACAGCCAAAACUGACUUAUUAAAACUUACAUGUGGUGACACCUAAAAAAUAGAAGUUCACUUAAAUGUUAAACUCAUGAUUUUUUUUACAUAAACUUUUUGACCUCUUAAUAGUUGUUUGUUCUGUAUGCAAUAGAUUUAUUUCUUUCAAAAGAAAAGAACAGUGUUGAUGUGUCAUAGAAUUAAAUAGCACUAUAUUCUUUAUAUACAGAGGAAGGAAAUAGUGACAUAAAAUAUAUAAUUAAAAUAGUGAAUAUCUCAAUUAAAAAGUUAAAAAGUACAUGUUGUACAUUUAUUUAAAAGGGAAUAAUAGCCCAUGGUUUAAUCUAACCUUUGAAUAUUUUGAUGAAUGUAUACAGAAGAACAAAGUUGUUAAGAAAUUAUAAUAGAUGUUGUCCAUAAUUAAUUUUCUAAUGAUAGUCUAUAAUACAAAUAAUGAAGUCUUUUGGAAAAUCCAUCAAGGCAAAAAAAUAAAAAUGCAAAGAAAUAUGUGAAAUGCAUCCAAUUGUAUUCAGUUAUUUAAAGAUGGCCCAAAAAAUUCAUCUAAAAAUUGUGCACCCUAAAUAUCACUACCUACUAAAGGUAAUAUAUAUAAAUGUGGUGUAGCUUUUAUGCAUUCACACUGAGUUUUAUUUUGUGUAGAUAUCAGUGCAUAUUUCAAAAUCCUCUUUAUAUAAAAUUAUUAAACAAACAAAUGUUUUGGAGUUUUGAAUAAUAUAAGUACAU
rnacentral:lncRNA from 1 species